rnacentral:rRNA from 1 species
CAGUACCGUGAGGGAAAGGCGAAAAGAACCCCGGCGAGGGGAGUGAAAAAGAACCUGAAACCGUGUACGUACAAGCAGUGGGAGCCCCACCACCAAAGCGUUUCGCUUUGUGUGGUGCACAAAGAAGCGUAACGACAGCACUGAAUGACGGUUAACGGAGCGCAAGCGACGUUCAACAUACAAAGUCAAGCAGUGGAGCGCUUUGGGGUGGGGUGACUGCGUACCUUUUGUAUAAUGGGUCAGCGACUUAUAUUCUGUAGCAAGGUUAACCGAAUAGGGGAGCCGGAGGGAAACCGAG